UACGGAGGGAGCAAGCGUUGUUCGGAUUUACUGGGCGUAAAGGGCGCGUAGGCGGCCACUGCAAGUCGGUUGUGAAAUCUCCGGGCUUAACCCGGAAAGGUCAAUCGAUACUGCAGGGCUAGAGUGCAGAAGGGGCAACUGGAAUUCUCGGUGUAGCGGUGAAAUGCGUAGAUAUCGAGAGGAACACCUGCGGCGAAGGCGGGUUGCUGGGCUGACACUGACGCUGAAGCGCGAAAGCUAGGGGAGCGAACGGG
rnacentral:rRNA from 1 species